UCACUUCUCAGAGCCUCUUUUUCCUCGUGUGAAAGAAAGGGAAGGAAUUUUUACAGUUUUAUUUGUAUGUGUCUAUUUCAUCUCCAUUUUAUUAAAAACUGGGCUCAGGUUGAACACACUUGGUCAAAAUGAACCCUCUUUCUAAAUGCCAAUUCACAGGAUUGUUCCAUAUCCAGAGAUGUGUGGAUGGAAAGGUUCCUUAUUCAAAUCUUAUUAAUGAAUUCCAGACACCCAGGACACCCCCAGCAACAAGGAAUCUUUCGCUGAGUUGGUUCAUGCCAUUUUUGGACAGCAUGAAUUAUCACAGAUGUCUCCAGCAGAGAAUGCAUGAAACUCAGUUGAUAAUUCUUACAAAUGGUACCAAACAAAGGAAGAAAAUACCAGAACCAAUGGGCUAAUGCAACACAAUACAAAGAACAGAGGAGAAUGGGAAUUUCCAUGAAGUGGGUAACCUAUUUUUGGCAAGGUUGAAGAGAGACCCUGCAAACAAGCCCAAGGCAUGUUAAGAGUGAUAAUAGCUAAGAUCUACUGACCACUUAAUAUUGUGCCGAGUACUCUGUUUGAUGAAUGAACAGCCAUACAGAAAUGUGAUUGGACACAAAGGAUCUGGCCUAACGGUGAAGGACGGAGUGGGGAAACCCAGCAAAACCACAGAAUUUUUUACUGAGUACUUCAGUUACAAGGUAGAGCGUGAACCCUGCAAGAGAAAUGAGCUCCUAUUGAUUUGUUUAUAAAUUAUCACAACAAAACAAAAUGCCCCUGGCUAAACUGGGAUCUGGGAUUUGGGGUUGUGCCAACCGUCAGGUCAUCACUGUUCAACUCCAAAUACACCCCUUAAUAGCUGCUCUGUGAUAAUGGACUGGACUCGAAGCAUUUCUUCCUUACUCAAAGCCUAAGAUUGAGUGAGCUCAAUAUUAGUUAGUUAGAGUGACCUCAGUGUUAGGCCUUGUCAGUAGAGGGCGCCGCAGGGACACUGUAAUGGCUCCAGAGUACUGUGUUUUGACGUUUUCUUGCUGCUGCUUCACUGUCCUUCAGCGGUGCAUGUAUAUAGGGACAUCUCUGCUCCAGUCUUGUGUGCAGAGCAUGCAGUCCCUUAGUGACUACGCAGCCCUGUCCUGAGGCUGAGUAACCACCUUUCCACAGGCCUCCCACACAGACCCUGCAUGCUGCAUGCAGGCCUUGUGCCCACCGUGAUACUCCAAGUGCCCACCGUGAUACUCCAACUCUCCACCAGCCUCAGGUUGCCUGUGCCCCAAAGCCAGCAAACUUCUGUGACAUCACAGGGAGCGACAUCCACAUCCUCUCCAAAGCAGUCUGAACCCAGCCUUGGGGAGUGGCUUCCGAGUGUGUCCUUCCUUGCGUAUUUUUCUUCAGCCUUAGGGCACUUAUUGAGUUUUCUUUACAUCUUUAUAGUUACUCUCCUAUCUUAGUUUAGUAAUUCCUUACACUAAACUUCCUGUUUAAAUUCCUUUGUGGUUUUUGUCUCCUCGUUUGACCCAGACUGACACUGUUUAAUUCUCAUUUCUGAAUUCAUAUAGUCAUCUACUCUUUCCUCAUCAUACACCACUUACUCUAUCCAUUAAAAAUAUGCCAUCUUUUCAUGUAUAUGUCAGCUGAAAUGUUGGCCAACUACAUGUUUUGAAAAACUUUGAAUGAUGCAAGAAAACAUCUAAGCUUAUUUUAUUCUUUGCUUAUAUCAUAUGAAAAAAUUCCAAGCUCAGCACCUUGCCUACCCAAGGAUUUAAAGUCAAAUUAAUUAUUUCUUCCUCUUUUCACACUCUGUUCUUUCUCUCUUCCACAGAAAAGGGCUGGACUUUU
rnacentral:lncRNA from 1 species